AAAAUUUUGGUUUAUAUGUGUGAUGACUGGGUAUUCAUACCACCCCAUGAUAUGUGUUUCCCACAAACCUUGUUAUAACAUCAGUACAUUGCCCAUCUGAUA